rnacentral:tRNA from 1 species
GGGGUUGUGGCUCAAUGGCAGAGCACUUGCCUUGUACAUAUGAGGCCCUGGGUUUGAUCCUCAGCACCA